GACAGAGGGGGCAAGCGUUGCUCGGAAUCACUGGGCGUAAAGGGCGCGUAGGCGGGAAGUCAAGUCGGUCGUGAAAUCUCCGGGCUCAACCCGGAGGAGUCGGCCGAAACUGGUUUUCUUGAGGGAGGCAGAGGAGUCUGGAAUUCCCGGUGUAGCGGUGAAAUGUGUAGAGAUCGGGAGGAACACCGGUGGCGAAGGCGGGACUCUGGGCCUACCCUGACGCUGAGGCGCGAAGGCGUGGGGAGCAAACGGG
rnacentral:rRNA from 1 species